ensembl:snRNA U6 U6 spliceosomal RNA
GUAUUCCCUUCGGCAGCACAUAUACUAAAAGUGAAAUGAUACAGAGGAGGUUAGCAAGACCCCUGUACUAGGAUGACGUCCAAAUUCUCGAAGCAUUCCAUAUUAAA